UCCACAACAAGUGAUAAAUAAUGAAGUCAGAGCCUCAACGCUUAAUUUUAUUAUGCCAUCUUCCUUAUCGUCUUCAAGGAUCUACCCGGCCUCACAUUACUCUGACGCCCUCAAUGUCGCACCACACCAACGUAACUUUGGAACUGCUGUUAUUCAACCUCCCAAUCUGUCUAGGUUGAUGUGCGACAAUAAUCAACGACAGCUUCAAGUGAUUCCUGUUAAUGCUACGAACUCUGAU